rnacentral:rRNA from 1 species
AUGAAUGACAAACUUGUCCCGAUCAUGUGCUGGAAUGUGCGCGGGCUCAACCACCCCGCGAAGCGCGCCUUUAUCUGUGAAGUCGCCGCAGCAAAUCGAGUAGCGAUCCUGUGUUUACAAGAAACAAAAAUCGACGCCUAGUCUCCUAGCCUAGUCCGGGAAAUUGGCGGCUCCUCGCUGACUGACUGCAUCGCCCUCCCGGCGAUCGGCACCAGUGGCGGAGCAGCAAUUCUUUGGAACAAAGACCUUGCCACUGUCACCUCCCACGCCAUUGGCGCGUUCGCCAUCACGACACAAGAAAAAAGAACUCAGUGA